UACGAGGGGGGCGAGCGUUGUUCGGAAUUAUUGGGCGUAAAGGGUGCGUAGGCGGUUUGGUAAGUCUUAUGUGAAAUCUAUGGGCUCAACUCAUAGUCUGCAUGAGAAACUGCCGGGCUUGAGUAUGGGAGAGGUGAGUGGAAUUCCUGGUGUAACGGUGAAAUGCGUAGAUAUCAGGAGGAACACCUGUGGCGAAAGCGGCUCACUGGACCAUAACUGACGCUGAUGCACGAAAGCUAGGGGAGCAAACAGG
rnacentral:rRNA from 1 species